UGCUAAGGCUGAUGGCGACCGGCGCACGGGUGAGUAACACGUAUCCAACCUGCCGUCUACUCUUGGCCAGCCUUCUGAAAGGAAGAUUAAUCCAGGAUGGCAUCAUGAGUUCACAUGUCCGCAUGAUUAAAGGUAUUUUCCGGUAGACGAUGGGGAUGCGUUCCAUUAGAUAGUAGGCGGGGUAACGGCCCACCUAGUCAACGAUGGAUAGGGGUUCUGAGAGGAAGGUCCCCCACAUUGGAACUGAGACACGGUCCAAACUCCUACGGGAGGCAGCAGUGAGGAAUAUUGGUCAAUGGGCGAUGGCCUGAACCAGCCAAGUAGCGUGAAGGAUGACUGCCCUAUGGGUUGUAAACUUCUUUUAUAAAGGAAUAAAGUCGGGUAUGCAUACCCGUUUGCAUGUACUUUAUGAAUAAGGAUCGGCUAACUCCGUGCCAGCAGCCGCGGUAAUACGGAGGAUCCGAGCGUUAUCCGGAUUUAUUGGGUUUAAAGGGAGCGUAGAUGGAUGUUUAAGUCAGUUGUGAAAGUUUGCGGCUCAACCGUAAAAUUGCAGUUGAUACUGGAUGUCUUGAGUGCAGUUGAGGCAGGCGGAAUUCGUGGUGUAGCGGUGAAAUGCUUAGAUAUCACGAAGAACUCCGAUUGCGAAGGCAGCCUGCUAAGCU
rnacentral:rRNA from 1 species